rnacentral:lncRNA from 1 species
UACUUGGGUUUGCACCCAAAAAAAAAAACCCAAUCUGAGGAAAGACUGCAAGUGUCUGAAUGAAGAGUGCUUGUCAAUGAUCAACUCUUGUGGUACAUCAGGGAACUCACAUAGGUGAAAAAACCCAUACUUACCUUGAGUCUGAGAAAACCUUUGGUAGAAGCUCCUGUCUUAUCAGGCCCCAAAAAACCUGUUCUGCAGUGAGAGAUUUAAUUGUGGUUCUGCCAAGGAAAGAGAAAAUACCUUUUAAUCCCAGGGAAAGGAUUGCAAUCACCACAUUAUAAGCAUAACCUGAGGUUGGAGAGGACCACUUGGGAGCCUGUAACCAAAACUAGAAGGUAACUUCUGGGAUGGACGGAGGUUCCCUUGAAGCAGUGCCAACCUAAAUCUACCUCAGGUAAGUAGUUAGAUUAACUUUUUCAAGAUUUCAGACCAAACAAGACAACUUGUAUUCAGUUGAUGUAUUCCUAUGCUUUAAUGUUUUUGUUUGCCCUUAAUUAUUAAAUAAACAUUUGUUCUGAAAAACUCCA